GACGAACGCUGGCGGCGUGCUUAACACAUGCAAGUCGAGCGAGAAACCCUCUUCGGAGGGGAGUACAGCGGCGAACGGGUGAGUAACACGUGGGCAACCUGCCCUAAGGAGCGGGACAACCCGGGGAAACCCGGGCUAAUACCGCAUGUUCCGCUGCGCCUGAAGGCGCUUCGGGAAAUGGUAGCUUCGGCCUCCGCCUUGGGAUGGGCCCGCGGCGCAUUAGCUUGUUGGUGAGGUAACGGCUCACCAAGGCGACGAUGCGUAGCUGGUCUGAGAGGACGAUCAGCCACACUGGGACUGAGACACGGCCCAGACUCCUACGGGAGGCAGCAGUGGGGAAUCUUGCGCAAUGGGCGGAAGCCUGACGCAGCAACGCCGCGUGAGGGAAGAC
rnacentral:rRNA from 1 species